rnacentral:lncRNA from 1 species
UCACUUCAUACAAGAUAGAUCUUACAUGGGCAACUUCAUCAUUUAGAUCUUUGUAAUUGAAGUCGAAAAUUAAUUUAGUAGAAAGAUUAAGAGGAUUCAUAGAGAUAGAGGAACGAGUAUGAUUUUUAUAAAUUGCAAGUAAUUAUACAUGAAACUAUUGCAUCAUAUUCGCUUGAAAUUAAUGGAAAAGCUGAAAAAAAGAAUAGGAAACUUUCUGAAUUAGUUUGUUAGAGCAUCUCCAACGGUAGUUAAAUGAGUUCGUCCGUCAGCGUGUAGUUACGUAAAAUUCGGUUUUUGCGAGUUCACUGUUGGAGUUGUGUCAACCUGUCAUCGUGGUGCUCUAAGUAAAGAACGGUACUUUGAUCAUUUAAUAAAAAUAAAAUUAUAAUCGUUACCUUUUUUUUUAUUAAUUUAUUAAUAAUAAUAAAUUUAUGACGGUUAGUGGACCUUAUUUAAUGAACCCAUGUUGAGUUUACAGUUUGAGUAAAAAAUAAAUGAGUUCCUUUAACAUGACGUGGCACAGUAGACCCUACUUAAUGAACCCAUGUUGAGGUCACCGUUGGAGAUGCUCUUAUGUUUUGAAUCGAAUUCCUAAAUCUAAAAACAAAACAUAUCUUUAUGAGAUUAAAAAAAAAAAUUGAACUUGUGUUAUUUUCGAACUUGGGAUCAUAGAGUCAAAUGAUGUUAACUUCUAUGAAAAAAUAUUAUCUUUCAAAUCGAGAAAGUGGGGGCAGCGAACCAAGUCACGUUUAUGUGAUGAGGAGCACUGAAAGCAACAAAUAAGGCAAAACAUAACCACGAAUAAGUAAGAAAGCCAAAAUUGAUAAAGAUUAAGGACCCGAUUAUACAACAUAUACCUUAGAAGAGGAUCUUGCAAAUCCUCAUAAACGAUGAGAUGGUUUCUCUAGAGUCUAACAGGACCUGACAUUUCGUAGGCUUGCCUCCUGAUUGCUAACCGAUAGGUUUUAAAUGGAUUUUGAAAAAGAAACUAAAAUCCAAUGGAACUUUUGAUAAAUACAAGGCUCUUCUUGUAGCAAAAAAUUUUAGACAAAGAGAAAAUAUUGAUUUGUUCAACACUUUUUCACCGGUUACUAGAAUUACAUCCAUUAGAGUACCCAUUUCACUAGUUGUUAUUCAUAACUUAUUGAUACACCAAAUGGAUAUCAAAACAAUUUUUUAAAUGUGAAUUGGAAAAAGAAAUCUAUAUCGAACAACCUAAAGGUUUUGUGAUUCAUGGACAAGAAAACAAGGUCUGUUAGAUAAAUCUAUGUAUGGUCUUAAACAAGCUCCUAAACAAUGAUAUGAAAAUUUUAAUAACUUGAUUAUAUUUAAUGAGUUUAAAGUGAAUGAAAGUGACAAAUAUAUUUAUUACAAAUUUGAAAAUCGCAUUUGCAUUAUCAUAUGUCUCUAUGUAGAAGACCAACUCAUAUCUGGUUCAAACAUUCAUGUUGUAAAUAUUAUGAAAUCAUUGUUGUGUAACAACUUUGAUAUGAAAUACCUCGGAGAAAUGAGUGUAAUCUUUGGAAUCAACAUUACUAGGUCAGAAAAGGAAAUUUCUUUGGAUCAAUCUCACUUUGUUGAAAAGAUCCUAAAGAAAUACAAAUAUUUUGAUUGUAAACCUGCUUGCACACCAUAUGAUUCGAGUAUGAAAUUUUUCAAAAACACAGAUGAAUGUGUUAAACAAACUGAAUAUGCGAGCAUCAUUGGCAGUCUCAGGUAUGCCAGUAACUCUAUUAUACCUGACAUUGCCUACGUUGUGGGACUAUUGUGCAGGUUUACUAGUAUACCUAAUAUGGAGUAUUGACACGCUAUCGAAAGAGUCAUAGAAUACCUUAAAAGGAUCAUGUGUCUUGGAUUACAAUAUCAAAGAUUUUUUGUCGUCCAAAACAAUCAGUAGCUAUAUUUUUAGUAUAGUCGAUGGUGCUAUAUCUUGGAAAUCGAAGAAAUAUUGGCUCGGUCCACUAUGAAUUCUAAAAUAAUAGCCCUAACUAUUGCCAGUGAAGAAGCAAAUUGGUUGAGAUGAUUGCUAGAUGAGAUUCUUUUAUGGAAAAAACAUGAUUGCUAGAUUAGAUCCCUUUAUGGAAAAAAAUCUAUGCAAGUUGUGUUGAUCCACUGAGGAGUGCACUAUGUUUGAAUAGCACUAGCAAACAACUUGGUUACCAAUAGUUUAGGAUUAAAUUGGUAUUAAAUUCUUACUAAUGACUACCUUGUAAAGAUUGUUCAAACUGACAGGGUAAUUAACAUGGUAUGCGUGAUGAUGAUGUUUAAGAAUUUGUAAAUUAAUAAUAUAUUGAGGCUUCACGGUUCAUUAUUGUAUUGUGUGGGUUAAGCACAUUUUGGCGAAUGUUAUAGUUGGUUUCAAAAUUUCAGAUGUAUGCACGGUAAGUGUUUGAUAGAAAUGCAAAAUGGUGAUAAAAGAGGGUUCUAAUACAUUGUGGGAAAUAGGAAUGAAUACACAGAAAAUGUGAAACCAUUGAAAGCGAACCUUCACAUUUGUUGGAUUCCAUUGCGAUCCAGGACGCGUGUUGUUAUCAUUAUGCACGGCUGGAGGGGGAAUCUACGAGGGUGGUAGAGGACGUCGCCGCCGAGGACGGAUAGAUCUUCUUGAUUUGGAUUUGUCGAGGCUGUGAAUUGUGAUAGUCGAAUUUGGAUGCUGUGUUUCUCUUAGAUGCGGUUUAUACACUAUGAUUAUUUUCAUAUAUAUCAUCGGUGCAAAAAG